UAGGAGAAGCCGAGACUUACGCAGCAAGGCACCGAGCUCACACCCGCUCAAUCGCUCGCUCGCUCUUUCUUUCUACCUCCUCCUCCUUUUCCUCCUCCUCCUCUCCCUCUCUGUCUCUCUCUCUUUUUUUUUUUGUUCUGCUUUUAGUGGUAGGCUGUCACGUAAUUGUUAGGCGACCAGCCGCUCGCUUUAGUGGGCCCGCAGUGCGUAUGAAGUCCGAUUUCACCUGGACAGCGGGAUUUAUUUGAUCCCAUAACUUCUCGGAAUUCGUGAGGGGAUAACUGAACCUUUCUUUCUUUCUGUCAGGGGUGGAAGCUCCAGUAUACAGACCACUUAUCAACACGGUCAAACCAACUGAGAGAAACAUACAGGUGUGGCCGGAGGGAGCUUCUGAGCAACACCAGGACUGCUUCAGCAGCACUGACAGGACUGUAUCUGAAGAUGACAAUAUUGAUAUAUACACACCUCUAAUGUACCGUGUUAUAUAAAGAGCUGCAUAGACAAUGUCACUAUAACAGAACAAAUCCGUGCUUCCUCCAGCAAUAAGCCAUGGAUGACAAGAGAUAAACGACUCCUGCUAAAAGCUCGCAAUAAGGUUUUCCACUCUGGUGAUGAACAGCAGUACAGCAUUGUAAGGUCGAAGCUGAAGAGGGGCAUUAGAGAUGACAAAGCAGUCUACCAGACUCAGACUCCCACCAUGCACAUCACUAAACAAAAUAGUAAUACCAACAAAGCUACCAGCAGCAGCAGUUCCUCUCUGGCAUUGCAGCUUAACAAGUACCGUCAUGACCGCCAUUCCAGCUCCAGAUACCAAGAGCCAGGUACUCACUAUACAGCCUGCUGAUGUUAGAUGCACAUUCCGGAAUAUCAAAUUACGAAAGCAACCGACACAGGUGGUGUCCCAGGAUGGGUUCUCAGAGACUGUGCUGGGGAGGUAUUUACAAUUAUCUUCAAUUGAUCACUAUCACAGUGCACUGUUCCUACCAGCCUGAAGACAUCUAUCAUAGUACCAGUUCCAAAGCCGACUGCAGUAACCAGCCUCAAUGAUUACACGGCCAGUAGCAUUAACCCCGGUAAUCAUGAAGUGUCUGGAAACACUGGUCCUCAAGUACAUCAAGGCUGCUCUCCCACUUACUCUAGACCCUCACCAAUACACAUACAGAUCCAAAAGGUCAACAGACGACACCAUUUUUGCUGUCCUCCACACUGUACUGUUCCACCAGGAACAGCGAGUGACAUAUGCACGGCUGAUGUUUUUGGAUCACAGUUCUGCUUUUAAUACCAUCAUAACCAGCAGACUGUUUUCUAAGAUGUCCAGCCUAGGCCUCUAGCAUAACAUCUACCUGUGGAUGCUGGAAUUUAUAACAAACCGGUCACAGUCAGUCAGGAUGGGCCCUCCCACCACUGCUCCCACCUUGUCAUUCAGCAUUUGAGCCCCACAAGGUUGUGUGUUGAGCCCUUUCCUUUACUCUCUGUAUACAUAUGUCUGCAUACCAGCCCACAACACCAAUGUCAUUAUCAAAUUGGCAGACAAUACAACAACAGUAGGGCUGAUCACUGAUGGAGCCGAGUCUGCCUACAUGGAGGAGCUGCAAAGACAAGAUAGACUGGUGCAUAGAGAAUAACUUGAUACAUAACACUGAUUAUUGACUUUAGGAAGAAGCAAGAGGACCACAGCCACUGUAUAUAAACAGUGACAGAGUGGAGAGAGUCUCAAGUUUUAGGUUCUUGGGUACCUCCAUCUCAGAAGAUCUCACAUGGACAAUAAACACAAACUCACUGGUUGAUAAAAACACAACAGCGAAUUUACUUCCGGAGAAUCUCAGGAAGGUUGAACUGUCACUAAAGCUUCUGGUGUCUUUCUACCUUUACUCCAUUGAGAGGGUCCUGAUUCAUGGGAUACUUGUGUGAUACAACAACAGAUCAGCAGCGAACAAACAGGCUCUGCAGAGAAUCAUAAAAACAGAAGAGAAAAUCACCUACCUACAAGUUUGCCUACUUUGGAAAUCAUCUACACCUCUUGAUGUCUGCGGAAGACAUCCAGCAUUGAAAGGACUUGUAUCAGCCAGCAGACAAACUGUUUGAACUUCUCCAUCCAUCCAUCCAUCCAUUACCCAACCUUCUAUAUCCUAACUACAGGGUCACGGAGGUUUGCUGGAGCCAAUCCCAGCCAACACUGGGCACAAGGCAGGAAACAAACCCCGGACAGGGCACCAGCCCAUCACAGUGUUUGAACUUCUCCCCUCAGGGAAGUAAUAGAGAUCCAUUAGUCCACGGACCACAUGGCUGAUGCACAGUUUCUACCCCAAAGUGAUGGCUGCACUAUUGCUACACUAAAUUCUGUACUGAAAUCACACGCCUUAUAGACGUAAUUGUGAAAUAUCAUAUUCAUCAUUACUAUAUACUUAUUAGCUUAACUUGUGCAAUAUUUAAAAAAAAAAACGUAUUUUUUGCAUAUGCUGAGACUUGUGCAAUGUGUGAGCUGUGUAUGUGAGAAUAUUAGAUGUUGCCACACACGUCCGCAGGGGAGGCAGCUGCAGAGUCUAAAUGAGAGUAAUUCCAUGCCAGACCAGGGGGUGGCGGAGUGCGCUGACCUUUUUUCUCGCUUUUCUCGUCUUUGAAAACAUUCCAUAGUCCACCUUCAUCGCCCGAAAAGGGUCACCAGUAUAACCCUUUCCUAAAAUAGGUUUAGCCCAUUAGUCGCUGGGUUGGCAUCUCCUAUCUAUAGAAAAAGACACUGCAUUCAGAUUAGACAACAAAGAUGUCAUCAACAGCUUUUCCAAUCGGAAGGCAAGAAAAAUGGAUUUUCGUCUCUGAACCUGGAAACCAGUAAGAGAUUUCAUGAUGAUACCUCUACGUUAAUUUCAUACUUCCUUUCGAAACACUGAAACUCAAAUUUUAUUUCUAGGCCAUAAACAUUAAUGCACAAAAACAUGAUAACCGGCUGACAUGACAUCAAGGUGACUUAUGACGAUGACAUCCUGCAUAUCGAGACUCAGAGUAUACUUGCAAUUUGGGUCUUUUUCUAGAAGAAGCCCAGCUGACUUCAGCAUGUCACAUUCUCACUGACCUGGUAUUGUCAAGAAUUAUGAAUUGCACUUUUUUAAUAGAUUAUAUCGUAAUAUUUUGAUAAGGUCCAUGCGUUAUCUUGCAAAAAUUUAGCUGAACACUGCAAUGAGUAAAUUCUGUGUAUGUUAACAUUAUUUUUAUUAAAUUCACGUGCAAGUUUAUACAGUCCACACAUACCGGUAACAGCGUUUGACGUAAGCGGCCACUCGUAGGGUUGGUCAGGCCUCACACACCCCUAAGGCCGCCUCUGAAUUAGGUUACAACAAAAAAGAAAAAGUCUGCAGUCAUUAAUUCUGUAUUUUAAAAAUUACUUUUGAUUAUUUCUUUUCUAAUUACAAUGACUUAUUUCUUUUGAUUUUCUAACCCUAACUCUAACUACGGGCUAUUAUUUUUUUCUUAACAAAACAGCAACUCAUUUUAGGUUAUGGUUAUGAAAUUCGGGCGCUACUAUAAAAAUAACUUGUUUAAUAAAAAUACACAUGCGGUUUU